rnacentral:rRNA from 1 species
AUGGACGAAAGUCUGCCGGAGUAACGCCGCGUGAGUGAUGAAGGUUUUCGGAUCGUAAAGCUCUGUUGCCAAGGAAGAACGGCCAGGNGAGUAACUGCCCCUGGAGUGACGGUACUUGAGAAGAAAGCCCCGGCUAACUACGUGCCAGCAGCCGCGGUAAUACGUAGGGGGCAAGCGUUGUCCGGAAUUAUUGGGCGUAAAGCGCGCGCAGGCGGUCUUUUAAGUCUGGUGUUUAAGCCCAAUUCCACGUGUACCGGUGAAAUUACGAGAGGAAAGUGGGGGGCUCAACCCCGGUUCGCACUGGAAACUGGGAGACUUGAGUG